rnacentral:rRNA from 1 species
GACGAACGCUGGCGGCGUGCCUAAUACAUGCAAGUCGAACGAACCGCGACUAGGUGCUUGCACUUGGUCAAGGUGAGUGGCGAACGGGUGAGUAACACGUGGGUAACCUACCUCAUAGUGGGGGAUAACAGUCGGAAACGACUGCUAAUACCGCAUAGGACAUAGGAUCACAUGAUCCAGUGAGGAAAGGUGGCGCAAGCUAUCGCUAAGAGAUGGACCCGCGGUGCCUUAGCUAGUUGGUAGGGUAAAGGCCUACCAAGGCGAUGAUGCAUAGCCGACCUGAGAGGGUGAUCGGCCACAUUGGGACUGAGACACGGCCCAAACUCCUACGGGAGGCAGCAGUAGGGAAUCUUCCGCAAUGGACGCAAGUCUGACGGAGCAACGCCGCGUGAGUGAAGAAGGUCUUCGGAUCGUAAAGCUCUGUUGUUAGAGAAGAACAGCGCAUAGAGUAACUGUUAUGCGUGUGACGGUAUCUAACCAGAAAGCCACGGCUAACUACGUG